rnacentral:rRNA from 1 species
CUACGGGUGGCACCAGUGGGGAAUCUUGGACAAUGGGCGCAAGCCUGAUCCAGCCAUGCCGCGUGAGUGAAGAAGGCCUUAGGGUCGUAAAGCUCUUUCGCCAGAGAUGAUAAUGACAGUAUCUGGUAAAGAAACCCCGGCUAACUCCGUGCCAGCAGCCGCGGUAAUACGGAGGGGGUUAGCGUUGUUCGGAAUUACUGGGCGUAAAGCGCGCGUAGGCGGAUUAGUCAGUCAGAGGUGCAAUCCCAGGGCUCAACCCUGGAACUGCCUUUGAUACUGCUAGUCUUGAGUUCGAGAGAGGUGAGGGGAAUUCCGAGUGUAGAGGUGAAAUUCGUAGAUAUUCGGAGGAACACCAGUGGCGAAGGCGGCUCACUGGCUCGAUACUGACGCUGAGGUGCGAAAGUGUGGGGAGCAAACAGGAUUAGAUACCCGUGUAGUC